UGCCUUGAGAGAUCUUAUGGAGCUUAAGGGGAUCGUAGUAAUCAAGGAGGACGAGGAGGCUGAGAGCAGUUUUGACGACGGAGAGUGGAUGUUUUCCUGCGAGGGAAGACAUCACGUCAUUGUUGAGGACAAGGAUCGUUAUGGUAGUGCGGCUGUUGAUCUCGUCGUUGAGCUUUGUUUGGGAAAGGUAGCUGUUGAAGGAGGAAUAUUCCGGCGAUUCGGAGAGAAUUUGUGUGAUGUUAUGGCCGGAGACGGUGUAAAUGACGGCGAAGAGAGA
rnacentral:lncRNA from 1 species